GUGUCAGCAGCCGCGGUAAGACGGAGGGGGCUAGCGUUGUUCGGAAUUACUGGGCGUAAAGGGCGUGUAGGCGGAUCGGCCAGUCAGAGGUGAAAUCCCUGGGCUCAACCCAGGAACUGCCUUUGAUACUGCCGAUCUAGAGUCCGGGAGAGGAUCGUGGAAUUCCCAGUGUAGAGGUGAAAUUCGUAGAUAUUGGGAAGAACACCAGUGGCGAAGGCGGCGAUCUGGACCGGUACUGACGCUGAGGCGCGAAAGCGUGGGGAGCAAACAGGAUUAGAUACCCUGGUAGUCCACGCCGUAAACGAUGUCUGCUAGUCGUUGGGGGGCGUUGCCCUUCAGUGACGCCGCAAACGCAUUAAGCAGACCGCCUGGGGAGUACGGCCGCAAGGUUAAAACUUAAAGGAAUUGACGGGG
rnacentral:rRNA from 1 species